CCCGGCUGCAGGGAAAGGCCUCGGAGGGCCGCCCUCCGUCCAUGGGAGCUGUCCUGACCGCGGGCCGAGUCCUGCUGCCGGGAGAGCAGACCUGCUAGAUUUGCAAACUUCCGCAGGCCGUGCAAAGCGCAGCUGUAACCGCGUCUGCGGAGCAAGACGCCUGCGCUAGGAGCCCCUCCUGAGCGGUCCACAUUUCCCUGCAACAGCAGUCCCCACACCUCAGAACCGCGGUUAUUCCCUUUGGUCCCUUGGAGGCAUCUUCUGUGUCUGUGCUGAUCAGUGCUGCGGCGUCAGUGAAUGAAUGAGAGGGAGAAAGGAAAGAAGAGGAAGGCGUGACUGCAGAAAUUGCUUAAAUUUUGCCUUUUCCAGAAUGUCAUGAAAAUGGAAUCAGACCGUAUGUAGCCUUUUGAGGAUAGAGGAUCUCCCCCACCACCCCAACUCCAGUGAGCUUUCAGAUGAGAUUGUAGCCCCAGAUGACAAUGUAAGUUCAAUCUUGUGAGAGACCUUGAGCCAGGGGCACCCAGCUAAGCCAUACUUGGGUUCCUGACCUCUAGAAACUGAAAUAUGUUUGCUAUUAUGUUUUGGGGUAAUUUGUUAUGCAACCAUAUGUAUCUAACACAGAAGCCUUUUAUUAAUAGGAGGUUGAGAAAGUUCACUUUCAUUCCUAGUUUGCUUAGUGUUUUUGUUUGCUUUUUAAAAUUAUGAAUGGAUGUUGAAUUUUAUCAAAUGCAUUUCUUCAUCUAGAGGUGAUCAUUUCCUUUUCCUUUCUUUUCUUUUUUUUUUUUAAUUGAGAGGGAGUCUCGCUCUGUCACCCAGGCUGGAGUGCAGUAGUGUUAUCACUGCUCACUGUACCCUUGAACUCCUGGGCCUAAGCAAUCCUCCCACUUCUGCCAGGCCUGAGUAGCUAGAAUUAUAGGUGUGCACCACCUAAUUGUUUUUAUGUAGUCUGUUGAUACGGUGAAUUAUAUUGAUUUUUAGAUGUUGAACCAACCUUUUGUUCCUGGGAUAAACCCAACUUAUUUAUGAUUUUAUCAUUUUAAUGUAUUGCUGGAUUUGAUUAGUAAUAUUUUAUUGGAAAUUUUUACAUUCAUGUUUUGAGAGAUAUUGAUGUAUAGUUUUCUUGUAAUAUCUGCUAAUUUUGGCAUCAGGAUAAUGCUGAUCUCAGAAAAUGAGUUGGGAAGUGUUUAUCUUCCCUUUUAUUUUCUAGAGAUGUUUACAUUAAAUUGGUAUUAUUAAUUCCUUAAAUGUUUGGAAGAAUUUUUUUUGUUUUUU
rnacentral:lncRNA from 1 species